UGAGGAAUAUUGGUCAAUGGGCGAGAGCCUGAACCAGCCAAGUAGCGUGCAGGAUGACGGCCCUAUGGGUUGUAAACUGCUUUUAUGUGGGGAUAAAGUGCGUGACGUGUCAUGCAUUGCAGGUACCACAUGAAUAAGGACCGGCUAAUUCCGCGCCAGCAGCCGCGGUAAUACGGAAGGUCCGGGCGUUAUCCGGAUUUAUUGGGUUUAAAGGGAGCGUAGGCUGUCUAUUAAGCGUGUUGUGAAAUUUACCGGCUCAACCGGUGGCUUGCAGCGCGAACUGGUCGACUUGAGUAUGCAGGAAGUAGGCGGAAUUCAUGGUGUAGCGGUGAAAUGCUUAGAUAUCAUGACGAACUCCGAUUGCGCAGGCAGCUUACUGUAGCAUAACUGACGCUGAUGCUCGAAAGUGCGGGUAUCAAACAGG
rnacentral:rRNA from 1 species